rnacentral:rRNA from 1 species
UAGGGAAUUUUCGGCAAUGGACGAAAGUCUGACCGAGCAACGCCGCGUGAGUGAAGAAGGCUUUCGGAUCGUAAAACUCUGUUGUUAGAGAAGAACAAGGACGUUAGUAACUGAACGUCCCCUGACGGUAUCUAACCAGAAAGCCACGGCUAACUACGUGCCAGCAGCCGCGGUAAUACGCAGGUGGCAAGCGUUGUCCGGAUUUAUUGGGCGUAAAGCGAGCGCAGGCGGUUUCUUAAGUCUGAUGUGAAAGCCCCCGGCUCAACCGGGGAGGGUCAUUGGAAACUGGGAGGCUUGAGUGCAGAAGAGGAGAGUGGAAUUCCAUGUGUAGCGGGGAAAUGCGUAGAUAUAUGGAGGAACACCAGUGGCGAAGGCGGCUCUCUGGUCUGUAACUGACGCUGAGGCUCGAAAGCGUGGGGAGCAAACAGG